GCUGUUGCCAUCACUGUGUAGUCAUUGUCAGGUUGCCCUGUCAUGCUCUUGCUGGCAGCUACAAUAUACUAAACUGCAAAACCACUUGUUACCUCCUGGUGGCAAUCCAUCUCGCCCCAGCACAAUCCCACAGAUUAUUAAGAACCCCACUCUCACAGAGCACUGUAUGAGUUUCUGCAAGCAAAGAACCACAGUCUAUGGAGCACUGUAUGAGUUUCUGCAAACAAAGAGCCACAGUCUAUGGAGCACUGUCUGGGUGUCUGCAAGCAAAGA